UACGUAGGGUGCAAGCGUUAAUCGGAAUUACUGGGCGUAAAGCGUGCGCAGGCGGUUUUGUAAGUCUGUCGUGAAAUCCCCGGGCUCAACCUGGGAAUUGCGAUGGAGACUGCAAGGCUAGAAUCUGGCAGAGGGGGUAGAAUUCCACGUGUGAGCAGUGAAAUGCGUAGAGAUGUGGAGGAACACCGAUGGCGAAGGCAGCCCCUGGGUCAAGAUUGACGCUCAUGCACGAA
rnacentral:rRNA from 1 species